GUGGAGUGAGGAGGAGGAGGAGGGCUGCUGAAAAUAAAGAAGAAUAAGAGAGGGAGGGAGAUGAGAGAGAGGUGUGCAUGUGCUUGUGAGCUUAAAGUGUGGAGGAAUGAGUUGGCUAGUUAGAUUAGCUUUUUAGGGGCUCUUUAAUGGUGCAUGUGAUUUCCAUUGAUGGGAAAGAGAAGAAUAAUGUGGGAGAGUGGGGAGGGAGCUAGUGCUGCGUAAGGGUGAGAGAGUGAGAGAGAAAGAGUGAGAGAGAUUGAGAGAGAUAGAGAGAGUGAGAGAGAAAGAGAGAUAGGUGUGUAUAUAUAUAUAUAUAUAUCUA
rnacentral:lncRNA from 1 species